rnacentral:rRNA from 2 species
GAUUUACAUUUGAGUGAGUGGCGAACUGGUGAGUAACACGUGGGAAACCUGCCCAGAAGCGGGGGAUAACACCUGGAAACAGAUGCUAAUACCGCAUAACAACUUGGACCGCAUGGUCCGAGCUUGAAAGAUGGCUUCGGCUAUCACUUUUGGAUGGUCCCGCGGCGUAUUAGCUAGAUGGUGGGGUAACGGCUCACCAUGGCAAUGAUACGUAGCCGACCUGAGAGGGUAAUCGGCCACAUUGGGACUGAGACACGGCCCAAACUCCUACGGGAGGCAGCAGUAGGGAAUCUUCCACAAUGGACGAAAGUCUGAUGGAGCAACGCCGCGUGAGUGAAGAAGGGUUUCGGCUCGUAAAACUCUGUUGUUAAAGAAGAACAUAUCUGAGAGUAACUGUUCAGGUAUUGACGGUAUUUAACCAGAAAGCCACGGCUAACUACGUGCCAGCAGCCGCGGUAAUACGUAGGUGGCAAGCGUUGUCCGGAUUUAUUGGGCGUAAAGCGAGCGCAGGCGGUUUUUUAAGUCUGAUGUGAAAGCCUUCGGCUCAACCGAAGAAGUGCAUCGGAAACUGGGAAACUUGAGUGCAGAAGAGGACAGUGGAACUCCAUGUGUAGCGGUGAAAUGCGUAGAUAUAUGGAAGAACACCAGUGGCGAAGGCGGCUGUCUGGUCUGUAACUGACGCUGAGGCUCGAAAGUAUGGGUAGCAAACAGGAUUAGAUACCCUGGUAGUCCAUACCGUAAACGAUGAAUGCUAAGUGUUGGAGGGUUUCCGCCCUUCAGUGCUGCAGCUAACGCAUUAAGCAUUCCGCCUGGGGAGUACGGCCGCAAGGCUGAAACUCAAAGGAAUUGACGGGGGCCCGCACAAGCGGUGGAGCAUGUGGUUUAAUUCGAAGCUACGCGAAGAACCUUACCAGGUCUUGACAUACUAUGCAAAUCUAAGAGAUUAGACGUUCCCUUCGGGGACAUGGAUACAGGUGGUGCAUGGUUGUCGUCAGCUCGUGUCGUGAGAUGUUGGGUUAAGUCCCGCAACGAGCGCAACCCUUAUUAUCAGUUGCCAGCAUUAAGUUGGGCACUCUGGUGAGACUGCCGGUGACAAACCGGAGGAAGGUGGGGAUGACGUCAAAUCAUCAUGCCCCUUAUGACCUGGGCUACACACGUGCUACAAUGGAUGGUACAACGAGUUGCGAACUCGCGAGAGUAAGCUAAUCUCUUAAAGCCAUUCUCAGUUCGGAUUGUAGGCUGCAACUCGCCUACAUGAAGUCGGAAUCGCUAGUAAUCGCGGAUCAGCAUGCCGCGGUGAAUACGUUCCCGGGCCUUGUACACACCGCCCGUCACACCAUGAGAGUUUGAACACCCAAAGUCGGUGG